rnacentral:rRNA from 1 species
CCUACGGGAGGCAGCAGUGAGGAAUAUUGGUCAAUGGGCGCGAGCCUGAACCAGCCAAGUCGCGUGAGGGAAGACGGCCCUACGGGUUGUAAACCUCUUUUGCCGGGGAGCAACGGGCGCCACGUGUGGCGCCACUGAGAGUACCCGGAGAAAAAGCAUCGGCUAACUCCGUGCCAGCAGCCGCGGUAAUACGGAGGAUGCGAGCGUUAUCCGGAUUCAUUGGGUUUAAAGGGUGCGCAGGCGGGCCUUUAAGCCGGCGGUGAAAUCGCGGGGCCCAACCCCGCCGGGCCGGCGGGACUGGGGGCCUUGAGUGCGGCGGAGGCAUGCGGAAUGCGCGGUGUAGCGGUGAAAUGCAUAGAUAUCGCGCAGAACCCCGAUUGCGAAGGCAGCGUGCCGUGCCGCCACUGACGCUGAGGCACGAAAGCGCGGGGAUCGAACAGGAUUAGAUACCCCGGUAGUC